rnacentral:lncRNA from 1 species
GCUGUGAGGUGCCUACCGCUCAGAGACUGGCUGCUGCGACUCAACACUGCCCAGACCACCAGCAGGGGGCUGAGGGCAGGUGCCCUCCAGGACACAAAUGGGAGGAGACCUCUACUCACGACUCUGAACAGUGAGGUAGCAGAGAGAGGGGGAGAAAAAGCCUCACCUCUGAAGCAACCUACACCUUCUUGCAGCUGUUUGGCUCUCUCGCUUCCUCCACCAUAGACAAAGCUCUGACCAACCACUGCGGGCGCACCAGUGUGGCUUUCCCAGUUGGCUGAUCUAGACAUCACUGUUCUUCCGACCCAUGAUUGCUUCCCGACGAAGAUGGAUUCCUGCCACCUUCACUAAUCAAUUCAGUCAAGCCAUCAGGCACAGAGAACAGCAGGGCAAUUGCUUUUUCCUCCUACACCUAUUCAUCACCAUCCAUCCACUGUUUCAGACCAUUUCCUCUUCCACCUUCUCCUCCUUCCCCAAGAAGUAUGAAAAAGAGAAACGAU